UCAGUCGACUCCUACGGGGAGGCAGCAGUGGGGAAUAUUGCACAAUGGGGGGAAAACCCUGAUGCAGCCAUGCCGCGUGUGUGAAGAAGGCCUUCGGGUUGUAAAGCACUUUCAGUAGGGAGGAAGGUAGUGUAGUUAACACCUGCACUAUUUGACGUUACCUACAGAAGAAGCACCGGCUAACUCCGUGCCAGCAGCCGCGGUAAUACGGAGGGUGCGAGCGUUAAUCGGAAUUACUGGGCGUAAAGCGCAUGCAGGCGGCCUGUUAAGUCAGAUGUGAAAGCCCGGGGCUUAACCUCGGAAUUGCAUUUGAAACUGGCAGGCUAGAGUCUUGUAGAGGGGGGUAGGAAUUUCAGGUGUAGCGGUGAAAUGCGUAGAGAUCUGAAGGAAUACCAGUGGCGAAGGCGGCCCCCUGGACAAAGACUGACGCUCAGAUGCGAAAGCGUGGGGACGCAAACAGGAUUAGACUACCCCUGGUAG
rnacentral:rRNA from 1 species